GAUGAACGCUGGCGGCGUGCCUAAUACAUGCAAGUCGAGCGAACGGACGAGAAGCUUGCUUUUCUGAUGUUAGCGGCGGACGGGUGAGUAACACGUGGAUAACCUACCUAUAAGACUGGGAUAACUUCGGGAAACCGGAGCUAAUACCGGAUAAUAUUUUGAACCGCAUGGUUCAAAAGUGAAAGACGGUCUUGCUGUCACUUAUAGAUGGAUCCGCGCUGCAUUAGCUAGUUGGUAAGGUAACGGCUUACCAAGGCAACGAUGCAUAGCCGACCUGAGAGGGUGAUCGGCCACACUGGAACUGAGACACGGUCAGACUCCUACGGGAGGCAGCAGUAGGGAAUCUUCCGCAAUGGGCGAAAGCCUGACGGAGCAAAGCCGCGUGAGUGAUGAAGGUCUUCGGAUCGUAAAACUCUGUUAUUAGGGAAGAACAUAUGUGUAAGUAACUGUGCACAUCUUGACGGUACCUAAUCAGAAAGCCACGGCUAACUACGUG
rnacentral:rRNA from 1 species